rnacentral:sRNA from 1 species
AACAGCGGCACCCCGACAGUGUCCGCAUUGUUCCCCGUUCUGCAGUGGAGAUGUUUUUCCUUUAAAGGUCAGGGCAGAACUGGGAAGCAGCCUUUUCUGCUUUAGACCAAAAGGAGGUCACGCAGGGUCAAGCUCUCUCUCCAUCCCCUCUGUCUCUCUCCCCACUGUGCCCUUCCUAUGCCACAUGGUUGACAGCGAUGACUGCAACGGAGUUGUUUUCUUUCUCAGUGGGGGCACAGAAAGGCAGACUUCCUCUCUUCUACUCAGGAACUCCAGAUGCAUCAGAGGCACGCAUUCGUAAGACAAGGAGGGAACAGACACGGAGAUGAACGUACGGACACACAGACGAGUGUAUGCUGGUGCUGUGUCUGCACAAAGGACUGAUGGUGUGACGGUUUGUGUAGACUCACCCCAGGGAGUGGCAGUGUUGGAAGGUGUGACCCUGUUGGAGUAGGUCCUAGCUGCCUGGAAGC